GAAUGUGUGAAUAUAAUUGUACAAACGAGUCGUAUAAAUGAAAGUUAGAAAAACAAACGAAAUAAUACAAGUGGAUGACCGGAUAUACGUAAUGCGUAUAUAGUAUACUUGUAUAAGUAGAGAUGACGUAGCAUGGCUAUGGGUUGCGUUGUUAAUAAUCAUUCCGUUGUUCGAAUUAAUAAGGACUUUCGGUAAUUAUAAAUUCUUCACGUGAAAAGUAAGUAGAAUCGGAAAAAAGUGAGGGGGUAGGGAGCGGCCGGAAUAGAAAGAGAAAGAAAGAAAGAAAGAGAGAGAGAGAGAGAGAGAGAGAGAGAGAGAGAGAGAGAGAGAGAGGGAAAAUGCAGGAGAAGGAGGAGGAGGAGGUUAGUCAAGAAGAAGAGUCACUUACCAGUUGCCGAGCCAGAAGACUUCGUGGACGAUCCAGUGUCGCUCGUCGAACUUACAUUGGAUAAUUGUUUUACAUAAACGACUCCGCUCGGUAGCAACAGAGUGUUCUUUGCUAAGAGACUCGUAGGUGAGGAAGAUUUUACAUCGAUCAUCCUCAUUUUUUCUUGCAAAUCCGUCGCGUCGACCGAACCUGUCUCGUUUUCGUUCUGAGAUAAAUGACGACCAAACAUAAAAAUCAAAAGAAAAUGAAUUCAGGAAGACAAAUAUUAAGUUUAAUCCAUCGUUUUAUUGAGUUCAUUGCUAAGGGUAUAUUUACAUUAGCAGCUUAUAUUGGUGGCCCAGUAGAAUCUCAACCACCUAUAAAAGAUUUGACACUUUUACAUAAUGCAACCACAUUAGCUUUUAAAAUUAGAAAUAAACAAUUAUCUUCCGAAGAAGUAGUAAAGUCAUACAUUGACAGAAUAAAAGAAAUUCAGCCAGUAUUAAAUUGUGUAGUCGAAGAACGUUUUGAAGAAGCACUCAAGGAAGCUAAACAAUGUGAUGAAAUGUUGAAAUCUCCCAAUGCACCAUCUGUACAAGUACUUGCCAAAGAGAAACCUUUCUUCGGUGUUCCCUUUACAACCAAGGAUUGUAUCGCUGUUGCUAAUAUGAAGCAAACAGCUGGUUUGAUUCUUCGUAAAGAUUUUGUCUCUGAGAAAGAUGCAGAGGUGAUAAGACUGAUGAGAGCAGCAGGAGCUAUACCAUUAGCGUCGACCAAUGUCUCAGAACUUGCAAUGUGGUGGGAAGCACAUAACCGUUUGUAUGGUACCACCAGAAAUCCAUACAACACAAGACAUAUAGUAGGUGGUUCUUCUGGGGGUGAGGGCUGCAUACAAGCAGCAGCUGGUUCACCAUUAGGAAUAGGAUCAGAUAUCGGUGGCUCUAUUCGCAUGCCAUGCUUUUUCAAUGGAAUUUUUGGUCAUAAACCUUCCAAAGGCAUUGUUUCAAACGAUGGUCAAUAUCCAAGUGCCCAUAGCGAGGAUCAGAAUCAAUUACUUGCAAUAGGUCCUAUGUGUAGACAUGCACAGGAUAUGAAACCUAUUCUUAAAAUACUUGCUGAUAAGAAUGCAGAAAUAUUGAAUUUAGAUGAUAAAGUUGAUAUUUCAAAGAUCAAGUUUUAUUACAUGGAGGACGACGGAGGGCAAUACUUUGUGUCCCCUGUAGAUCAAGAAAUAAAAUGCGCUAUGAGAAAAGUGUUGCUUCAUUUUGAAAAAGCAUAUAAAAUAAAAGCUACGAAAAUACAUGUGCGAAAAUUUAAAAAAAGCAUUGCUCUAUGGUUAGCGAAUAUGACGUCUAAAGAUAACAAAGAUUUUUCGUAUGAAUUAUCCAAUCGGAACGGAAAUAUAAAUAUUUUAUGGGAAUUUGUGAAGUGGUUAAUGUUCCUAAGUAAUCAUACAUUAAUUGCUCUUCUAACUGCAACAUUUGAGAGGUUUGGUAUAAAACAUGGGAGUGAGCAAUACACAAAACUUAUACAAGAAAGUAAAGACCUUUACCAAGAAUUCAAGGAUAUUUUGGGAGAAGAUGGUGUUUUCUUGUAUCCGACUCAUCCCACGGCAGCGCCAUUACAUCACGAACCACUUAUAAAAGCAUUUAAUUUUUCGUACACUGCAAUUAUUAAUGUUCUGGGCUUGCCAGCUACAGCUUGCCCGUUAGGAUUAAAUAAGCAAGGACUUCCUAUUGGCAUACAGAUUGUUGGUGGUUUAAAUCAAGACCGUUUAACGCUUGCCGUUGCUGAGGAAAUUGAAAAAGGAUUUGGAGGUUGGGUUCCUCCAGUUAUCGUAGCUUAAAAGUAUGGGUAUUUUAGACAAUAAUAAUGGAGAAUGCAUUGAAAUGCAUUAACAUACCAAAUCCUGCCUUUCUCAGCUCUUGAACAAUUCAAAUCUUCACAAGGAAAGAUAUCUGUGCAUUAAAGUCGCUAGAAGAAAGCUGCCAAUUCAGCUUCCUUCAUUGCUGAAUGAAUGACUGGCUCGGCCCAAAGACCAGGAUUAAAGGAUGGCCCAGUGCCCCCUAAUUCGGCAGGAAGUUAUACUAAAGAAUAACUCGAAACUCACCUUAUUACGAGUCUUUUCAUCCAGAAAAGGUUUAACAAGAGCCAAAGUAGCUUGAACGUAUAAAGGAGCCGAAAGGAAGUGUAUAGCCUUGAAUCUGGCCGGAAAUCGACCACGAAGCGCAGCUAUCAAGUUUCGAAGAGCUGCUGCACCUAAUGCACCGCCUUGCCGCAGAGAAAAUCCACUCCAAUCUACCACAGCAACGAAACCGGAUUGCUCGAACGAACCUGGUUUCUUGGAUCUUGAAUUAGAAUUUCAAGGACUAAAAAAAUAGCUCGUUGAACUGAUAACGCUGGCACUGCAAUAGGAUCCCAUUGUGAAGCUAGGAUUACUAAAACACACCUGCCUUUCCUAAAAAAGACAUUAUCUUUAGAUUAUGAUAUUCUUAUCUAGAUUAACAUAUUCUUAUGUAUUUUAUCGUUCAACAUGCUAAAUGCCAUACCCCGAUUUUUUACAAAUCAAUGCACUCCUCAUUAUCAUAAUUAUUACAGUAGACUUUAUUUUAUUAGCCUUUAAAGCAUCACUGAUUAGAUCUCAAAUUAAAAAUCCUUCACGGCAUUCAACGUAUUAAACGAUAGAUCUUAACGAAUCGGAUCGAUUUAAAUCUCUCGAUCUUACCUGUCGCGAGCAGGUAAAACACCGGGUAUACCAGCACGUAAAGCUCGUUGCAAGGCAGGAUCACGAGCAGUAAGAUUACCGAAAAUAUCCUGUCGAUGAGCUAUCUGAGCUUGAUAAGCAGCUAUCAGAGCAGCUGCUUGCUCGGCCCGAUACUUCCGUGCGAGCAGGAAGCGCGUAAUAUAUUCGUCCGUGCAAUGUUUCA